AACGCUGGCGGCGCGCUUAACACAUGCAAGUCGAACGAGAACCGGGACUUCGGUCCCGGGGACAGCGGCGAACGGGUGAGUAACACGUGGGUAAUCUGCCCUCGGUUCUGGGAUAGCCCGGGGAAACCCGGAUUAAUACCGGAUAGCCUUUCGUGCUUUCGGGCGUGAAAGAAAAGGUAGCUUCGGCUUCUGACCGCGGCUGCGCCCGCGGCGGAUUAGCUUGUUGGGGGGGUAACGGCCUACCAAGGCGACGAUCCGUAGCUGGUCUGGGAGGACGAUCAGCCACACUGGGACUGAGACACGGCCCAGACUCCUACGGGAGGCAGCAGUGGGGAAUCUUGCGCAAUGGGCGAAAGCCUGACGCAGCGACGCCGCGUGGGGGAAGAAGGCCUUCGGGUUGUAAACCUCUUUCAGGUGGGACGAAGCCACUCGGGUGAAUAGCCUAGAGGGUGACGGUACCUCCAGAAGAAGCCCCGGCUAACUACGUGUCAGCAGCCGCAGUAA
rnacentral:rRNA from 1 species